rnacentral:antisense_RNA from 1 species
GGGGGAGAAUGGGCAUCCCACCCCAGCACUUUCUAGGAAGAAGGGCAACAUUUUGAAGGGCUGGAAGUAGAGAAAGAAGGUUGCGGGUAGAAGACUCCAUACUUUCUGUGACGCCUAUUCCUUAGCUUGUGAUGAAUGUUUUCUCAGUAUCCUAUGCUGAAAACAGGUAGAUACUAAUCCCUCCUUCAAGGGAGGGCUGUUGAGUAUUGAAUAAGAUAAAAACAUGGAAGCAAUCAGCACAAUGCUGGAAUCAAGCCUAUCUGUAAUCACAGGGCUAUUUGAAAAAGAGAAGAAAAGGUGUCUUGAAAUUAAACCAACAUGUUUCAAUUAUUUGCUCCUAAGAACAACAGAAGUUUCAACAUUCUGCCAACACAGUAACUCCUGGGAGAUUGGCACAGAAGAAGGCACAAGGAGAGCUUUUAUAUAACCAAAGAUAUUUUUGGACCAUGAAUUCGGAAAUUCUCGGAGCCACCCAUCAAUGCCUGAGCUUCAGUGAGUCCAUAUCCCAUGUCACCUACGGCAAAGGAGAAUCUGAGACUUCUGAAGAGUUUCUUGCUUCUUUCCUGUGGGGCAGUGACUCCACUUCCCAGCAGUAAUGGAAUAUCCUGAAUUAGCUACAUUAAUGUUAGAACCAUUUGGACCUCACCCAGGACUUCAACUACAUUGUGGUUCUAGUAUGUUAGGUUUAUGUUCCCCUGCUUUCUACAAUCCUGUUCAAAGAGUUGCUGACUUAACCACAGAGAGAAUUCCAGAACAUGAGACACAGAAUAAACUUGAACAAUCAUAGUCCAUCCACUUCAUUUUCUCAUCGAAAACCAAAGGUCCAGUGAGGCUCUGGAACUCGACGCUGUAAAGGAGCGAAGGAGCAUCUAUACAGAACCUGGAUGCCUGUCUCCUUAUCCUACUUCAGCGGACUUGACUGCAAUCCGGAUUAUGCUGUUUUCUAAGCAUUUAAAAUAAAAUAAAAAGUGUAAUAGUGUGAUAAGUUCUUUCACAAAGCAAGUAAUCACAUUUAUGUUUCAACUUACACUUGGGUUUUCCAAAUAUGUGUGUGUGUGUGUGUGUGUGUGUGCAACUUUAAACAUGGUGAAUCCAUCAUGUUGCACUAAAUCAAAACCACCAAAUAAUGACAUAGAAUCAAUAAAUCAAAACCAUCAAAUAAUGACAUAGGAAUCCAAUUCUCCCACCUCACACCCAUUAAGAGGGUGU